UACAGAGGUCUCAAGCGUUGUUCGGAUUCAUUGGGCGUAAAGGGUGUGUAGGUGGCGCGCUAAGUCGGGUGUGAAAUUUCGGAGCUUAACUCCGAAACUGCAUUCGAUACUGGCGUGCUUGAGGACUGGAGAGGAGACUGGAAUUCAUGGUGUAGCAGUGAAAUGCGUAGAGAUGUGGAGGAACACCAGUGGCGAAGGCGACUCUUUGGCCUGUAACUGACGCUGAGGCGCGAAAGCGUGGGGGAGCAAACAGG
rnacentral:rRNA from 1 species